UCGAGACAGGGUUUCUCUGUGUAGCUUUGCGCCUUUCCUGGAACUCACUUGGUAGUCCAGGCUGGCCUCGAACUUACAGAGAUCCACCUGGCUCUGCCUCCCGAGUGCUGGGAUUAAAGGCGUGAGCCACCACCGCCCGGCUAGUUCUCUCAAGUUUUAGAUGGGAAGUAGAGCCAACACGUUGGGCAGCCAAACGUAGUUGGAAGGUUUCUCCAAUUCCACCAAGGCACCUCAGUCCCAUGGCCCGCUGAUACAAUAAUCAUAUAAUCAAUAAUAAUAUAAACUCAGAAGCUUAUAUUAAUUAUAACUGCUUGGCCAUUAGCUCAUGCUUAUUACUAACUAGCUCUUACGUUUAAAUUAACCCAUAAUUCUUAUCUAUGUUUAGCCAUGUGGCUUGGUACCUUCUCUCAGUUCUGGCUUGUCAUCUUGCUUCCUCUGUGUCUAGCUGACUCAGCCCUUCCUCUUCUCAGAAUUCUCCUCGUCUGCUUGCCCUGCCUAUACUUCCUGUCUGGCUACUGACCAAUCAGCAUUUUAUUUAUCAACCAAUCGGAGCAACACGUAUUCACAGCGUACAGAAAGAUAUCCCACAGCAGGCACCGACAUCUUCAGGGCACUGUAGAGCCUCACCAUUAGGGCAUAUUCAGAGGUCAUGGGUCUCCAGCUCUGUGGCUCGGGGUUGGUCGUCCUGUGACAAUAACUGAUUAGUUGUUUGAUUAGAGAUUUUUUUUUUUUGAAUUUGGCAUUGGAGAAACAUAGAGAAGAAAUUGAGAAAGUAGGGUAUGAUUAGUAAAAGCUGGAAAAUUAGAAGGAGAGGAGUCAGGAAGGGAAGUAUCUGCUUCCAUUUGGGAUUCUCAAAGGCCCAGGGGCUGGAGGAAUUGAGUUGCUCAUAACGUUUUGGAGGUCUGUUUGAAGUUGUUGGAUUUUGUUUUUUACUAUACCCAAUUAGUUGACAUAGAGGCAGCCUUCCUCAUGGAGGAAGAGACAAAGGCCUCCUUUUUCAGCUGUAAGAAGAUCUAGUCCCCGUAGGUUUUAGAAUACCACCACAGCGAAGGGGUCAGUUGGUCCUUGAAGGGUGAGCAUGGUUUGGGCCACUGCAAGAGGUCCUUGAUGAACUGGGAAGAAAAUUGAUGAGACAAAAUCAGGGAGGUGGUCAGUCCUGCUGUCCAGGUGACAGACAAGUCAGGGGGGUGGUCAGUCCUGCUGUCCAGGUGACAGUCAGAGUCGGGGGGGUGGCCAGUCCUGCUGUCCAGGUGACAAAGUCAGGGGGUGGUCAGUCCUGCUGUCCAGGUGAGACACACCUCAGUUCUUCCCACAACAGCCACAAGGGGCAAGAGUGGAAUCGCCCUUUGAUUGUGGCUAUUGAGUCCACGGCAGGAAUCAAUAGGGGCUCUUCUCCAUAUAUCGCCCCCAACUUGGGGAAGAGACAUGCUAGUGUGCAAACCCCUGACCAACUAGCCAGUGGGCAAUGAGAGACUUGAGUACCACAAAGAACUGAGGUGUUGCAGACUGGAAGGCACUGGGGCCGAAGAGGCGUGUCAAGGCUUAAAGUUUUGCCAUCUAAGAGAUUAACGCCCCUACAAGAUGUGUCCUGUACACCUUAAAGUAGUUUGCCAUGCCAAAGAGGGUGGUAUGAAGAAAGUAGGGAGUCUUGGCAUUUCUACCAGUGCCGUCUGGAGAGGAAGAACUGGAGAGGGAGGUGGAGUUUGUAUGCCUGGAUACAUUAAGAGGUGGGAGGGUUGUUGGGGAGGAAGAUAGCGGUAGGUGACCCCAAAGUUAGUUUUUCAGACUCAUGAAUGAGGAGCUGGGCAGCCGCUAAAGCACAUGUGCAGAGCGCCCAUCCCUGGGUGUCAAGGUCCAACUUUUUUUGACACGUAUGCCACAGGUACCAAAGAAGGUCCCAGUUGCUGGCCUAGGACCCCAAAGGCAUGUUUCCUUUUCUGUUACACAGAGGGAGAAGAGAUGGGUCAGGUCUGGGAGGUGGAGUGCCAGGGCCUGGAGGAGAGCCUGUUGGAGCUUCUGAAAGAGCUUGGUGAUGGGUAUGAGAAGGUGUUCAUAGGAGCCAAGGGUUGCUUCAUAAAGUGGGCAGACAAGGAGGGAGAAGGAGAGGAUCUGGGAACAUAAGAAGCCAGCUAGUCCUAGGAAGGACAAAAAUGUCCUCUUUGACAGAGGGACUGGGGGAGAUGGAUUAGAUAUUUUCUAUCCAAGGUAAUGGCUUUGUGGGUUGGGGUCAUGGUUAGUCCCAAGUAGGUAACCCGAGGGGUAGACAGUUGGACCUUAGAUGGUGAGGCUCUACAGCCCUGCCUGGACAAGAAAUUUAGAAGAGCGGAGGUGUCCGUUUGCUAACUUGUAGGGAUGGACUGCAGAGCAGGUCAUCUCCACACUCUAUGAGUGUAGAUUUGGGGAGAGACAAAGAGAGUAGAUUGGAGGCCAGGACCUACCAAACAGGUGUGGGUUGUCCUGGAAGCCCUGGGGUAGGACAGUCCAGGUGAGUGAGGUAGAGAGGUGGGUGUCAGGGUCAGUCCAGGUGAAAGCAAAAAGGUUUUGUGACUGGGUGUGGAGGGGGAUAGAGAAGAAGGCAUUCUUGAGGUCCAGGAUUGAGAAAUAGGAGGCAUUUUCUGACCCGCCCCUUGGGGACCCGCCUGGUGUCCUCCUGACGCCAUCCUACGUCCCCUUUAAGAAGAAAACUCCUCCUCCUUUACCCUCUCUUCCACCCUCCCUCCCUUCCCCACCAUGAGGUGCGCAUAACCCAGCUUUCCCCCUUCUCUCUUCCUCUCUCCUUCUUCCCCCGUCUUUCUCUCUAUUUUUCUGAUAAACUCUCCCCACAGGGAUGCAGUGCCCAGGGUGGGAGUGACUGUGCACUGUCCACCCUGGCAGCCAGCUGCCGCAUCUGCCAGGCAUGUUUCCGUCACCUGCGGGACUCCUUGGCCCUGGACAGCCAGGGCCUCCUGCGUGCCCUGUGAUGACAGGAGGUCCCUGAGGGAAGAGUGGACAGGAGUGUGUAAAGGUUUCUCCUCCGAUGCAGUAAGCCAGCUCAAGCCGAACUGGAAAAGCGAAAGAACAGGUUUAUUUGAGCAAAGCAACUCCCAGAUGAGUCCGGCUCUCAACUGUGGCUGGAGAACCUCCGCGAGAGUUAAUGCAGAGACUCAUAACUGAUCCAAGUGUUGAGAAUGAGUGGUUACUCAAUGCUCAGCCCGAAGUAGGACAUCUGUAUCGGACCCUGCUCUAAGACUCAGGGAACUUCAUGGAAGAGGGGAGUAGAAAGAAUGUUGGAGCUGGAGGCCGGGGAGGAGCGCUGUCAAACGCUGUCUUCUGGGCCUGACCCGGCCAUUGCAGCCAUGGAUUCACUGCAGCAAUUGUUAAUGGCAAGAGAGCAAUCUAACAGGACAACCUUCUAGAAGGAAGCACUAGUUACACUUAGUGGCUGG